rnacentral:rRNA from 1 species
GAGACUCUGUGCGCGUGCAUAUCAAUAAGCGGAGGAAAAGAAACUAACAAGGAUUCCCUUAGUAAUGGCGAGUGAAGCGGGAAGAGCUCAAAUUUGAAAUCUUCAAGGUUCUACCUUGACGAAUUGUAGUUUAUAGAAGUGUUUUCUGUUAGUGGAGUGGCAAAAGUUCUUUGGAAUAGGACAUCAUAGAGGGUGAGAAUCCCGUAUUUUGGUCAUUCCUCCUAGCGUUGUGAUACACUUUCAACGAGUCGGAUUGUUUGGGAAUGCAGUCCAAAAUGGGUGGUAAGUUUCAUCUAAAGCUAAAUAUUGGCGAGAGACCGAUAGCGAACAAGUACCGUGAGGGAAAGAUGAAAAGAACUUUGAAAAGAGAGUUAAACAGUACGUGAAAUUGUCAAAAGGGAAGCGUUUGACACCAGUGUUGUUUUUCCGAAAAUCAAUUACGAAUGUUUUGUUUUUAAGGAGUUAUGACUUCAUCGGCCUGCUCCUUUCUUUAUGAAACUUUCUUAAUGCACUUUUCGGUUAACAAGUCAACAUCAAUUUCUUUUGUUGUAAAAGGGUAUGAGGAAGGUGGCUUUUCUUUCGGAGAAAGUGUUUAUAGCCUUGUGCUUCUGCAAUCGGAGAGAUUGAGGUCUGCAGCGUAGAUCCUUCGGGGUUAGAUACAUUUGUGCUAAGCUAUAGUUCUUUAUAGACAACUUGUUGACUAUAAUCAAUCCUGUAACUUACUCGCUUAUGCUAUUUUACCUACGCUUAGGAUGUUGAACUCUAUCACACACAG